rnacentral:rRNA from 1 species
UCCUUAGAUGUUCUGGGCGGCCCGCGCACUACAAUGGCGUGUGCAGCGAGUGCCGAAGUAGAGUUUUCCGAGGUAUUCUUGCAAUGCUCGUUUUGAUGGGGAUAGACCCUUGCAACUGUUGGUUUUGAACGAGGAAUUCCCAGUAAGCGCGAGUCAUAAGCUCGCGUUGAUUACGUCCCUGCCCUUUGUACACACCGCCCGUCGCUACUACCGAUUGAACGGUUUAGUGAGGGCCUCGGAUUGGUCUCGGCCCGCUCUUUACCGGGCGGCGCCGUUGGUCGAGAAGACGCUCGAACUUGAUCGUUUAGAGGAAGUAAAAGUCGUAACA